AUUACACUUUGAAGCACCGGUUCUCGUGCGAUCAUUGAGGUUAAGCAACGUCGAGCCUGGUCAGUACCUAGAUGGGUGACCGAUUUGGAAUACCAGGUGCUGUAAG